CCCUUAGAUGUUCUGGGCCGCACGCGCGCUACACUGAUGCAUUCAACGAGCCUAUCCUUGACCGACAGGUCCGGGUAAUCUUUGAAUCUGCAUCGUGACGGGGAUAGAUUAUUGCAAUUAUUAAUCUUCAACGAGGAAUGCCUAGUAGGCGCAAGUCAUCAGCUUGCGUCGAUUACGCCCCUGCCCUUUGUACACACCGCCCGUCGCUCCUACCGAUUGGGUGUGCUGGUGAAAUGUUCGGAUCGGCCGUUUGUCGCGGUUUCCGCGGCUCGUGGCUGAGAAGUUCAUUAAACCCUCCCACCUAGAGGAAGGAGAAGUCGUAACA
rnacentral:rRNA from 1 species